CGCUUUGAUAAUGCUGGGAUGUGAUGGGGAGCGAAAUUUAGUAGCGAAGUAGCUGAUUUCACACUGUCAAGAAAAGUCUCUAUCGAGGUUAAAGGUACCCGUACCGCAAACCGACACAGGUGGGUGAGGAGAGUAUCCUAAGGCCAGCGAGAGAACUGUUGUUAAGGAACUCGGCAAAAUGACCCCGUAACUUAGGGAUAAGGGGUGCCACCAUCAGGUGGCCGCAGAGAAUAGGCCCAAGCGACUGUUUACCAAAAACAUAGGUUUCUGCUAAGUCGCAAGACGAUGUAUAGGAGCUGACGCCUGCCCGGUGCUGGAAGGUUAAGGGGAUCUGUUAGAGCAAUCGAAGCAGUGAACUUAAGCCCCAGUAAACGGCGGCCGUAACUAUAACGGUCCUAAGGUAGCGAAAUUCCUUGUCGGGUAAGUUCCGACCCGCACGAAAGGCGUAACGAUUUGGGCACUGUCUCAACAACAGACUCGGUGAAAUUGUAAUUCCGGUGAAGAUGCCGGAUACCUGCGACAGGACGGAAAGACCCCAUGGAGCUUUACUGUAGCUUGACAUUGGGUCUUGGUACUACAUGUACAGGAUAGGUGGGAGGCUUUGAAACCAGGACGCCAGUUUUGGCGGAGCCAUCCUUGGGAUACCACCCUUGUAGUACUGGGACUCUAACCAUAGGCCAUGAAUCUGGUCUUGGGACACUGUCAGGUGGGCAGUUUGACUGGGGCGGUCGCCUCCCAAAAGGUAACGGAGGCGCUCAAAGGUUCUCUCAGUACGGUCGGAAAUCGUACGUAGAGUGUAAAGGCAAAAGAGAGCUUGAUUGCAAGACAUACAGGUCGAGCAAGGAUGAAAAUCGGACUUAGUGAUCCGGUGGUUCUGCGUGGAAGGGCCAUCGCUCAACGGAUAAAAGCUACCCUGGGGAUAACAGGCUUAUCUCCCCCAAGAGUCCACAUCGACGGGGAGGUUUGGCACCUCGAUGUCGGCUCAUCACAUCCUGGGGCUGUAGUAGGUCCCAAGGGUUGGGCUGUUCGCCCAUUAAAGUGGUACGCGAGCUGGGUUCAGAACGUCGUGAGACAGUUCGGUCCCUAUCCGUCGCAGGCGUAGGAAAUUUGAGAAGACCUGUCCUUAGUACGAGAGGACCGGGAUGGACGUACCUCUGGUGUACCAGUUGUCCUGCCAAGGGCAUGGCUGGGUAGCUAUGU
rnacentral:rRNA from 1 species